GCUGUCGUCAGCUCGUGUUGUGAAAUGUUGGGUUAAGUCCCGCAACGAGCGCAACCCUUAUCCUUUGUUGCCAGCGGUCCGGCCGGGAACUCAAAGGAGACUGCCAGUGAUAAACUGGAGGAAGGUGGGGAUGACGUCAAGUCAUCAUGGCCCUUACGACCAGGGCUACACACGUGCUACAAUGGCGCAUACAAAGAGAAGCGACCUCGCGAGAGCAAGCGGACCUCAUAAAGUGCGUCGUAGUCCGGACUGGAGUCUGCAACUCGACUCCAUGAAGUCGGAAUCGCUAGUAAUCGUGGAUCAGAAUGCCACGGUGAAUACGUUCCCGGGCCUUGUACACACCGCCCGUCACACCAUGGGAGUGGGUUGCAAAAGAAGUAGGUAGCUUAACCUUCGGGAGGGCGCUUACCACUUUGUGAUUCAUGACUGGGGUGAAGUCGUAACAAGGUAACCGUAGGGGAACCUGC
rnacentral:rRNA from 3 species